rnacentral:ribozyme from 13 species
ACAAGAAAAAGGACCUGAAAAAGUGGGAGUGUGGGAGGUCGAUUUGUAUCUGUUUCUCUCUUUUUUUCUCUUUCUCUUUCCUUUUCUCUUUCU